ACAAGCUAAAUUCACACUAGGAUCAGGGAGAAGAUUCCUCCUACUUUGUCUUCCAGAGAAGGGGAAUUGCAGACAGAAUAUUUGAAGCAAAUGAGACAGAACUGACUACAGACCAUUCUUCUUCCUUGCCUUUUCAGCAGAGGAUUCUUUGAUCCUUCAGUGAAGAUUCCGGAAUGCCAUGAUGGCUGCUUGUAGUACCACUAGGAUUUUGGCUCCCAUCAGGUACUGGGAGACGGCAAGAACGUCACCCCGAAGCCUCUUCUCCAGCCUAAGAAUCCCAGUUCUCUCAGCCUUUUCCCACAGCAGAGCUGCUCUGUCCCUCUGAUCAUCUCCACGGACUCCUCUGGAUUGUCUCCUACAUCCUUCCUGAGCUGGGCACUCCAGAGCUGGAAGUAGCUCUGCAGGCCAGCCAUCUGCAAAGGGAACAAACACCAUAGAGCACUUUGGAUCACUAGCAGCAACUCCAAAAGGUCCAGCUUCAACGUUCAACUGUUCCCUGCUUACGGACAUUUCUCGGAUUACUUUCACAUGGAAUACCCUAUAAGUAGUGUUGGUUCAUCAAGUCGUUUGUCACUCCCCAUUAAAGUCUUCUGCACUUACAGAAAACAAAGAUAAUUUACCAGUAUCUUUAGAAAUAUGCCACUUCUACAGAUGUGUCUUAGUUUGCAAAGGAUAAAUCUUACUACUUUUCUUCUACAAAUUUUAAAGGAACUAUUAAAAUAGGAGACUAUAAAAAAACAAGGGGUGGGGGGACACAACUGAAAGCUAGGGCCCCAUGAUAGAGUGGCUGUGAUACCCAGUGAGACGCAAAGUGUGACUUCCCAAACCCUGGGCACAGGAGCUGUCGACAGUUUUCAGCCAUCAGCCUUG